CAAAAUUCUAAUUUCAUUUGUUAUAAAUGAUUAGCCAAUUUGAUUAGUAAAAAGAAGAAAUUUAUUCUAGAAUCAAAUUGCAAUCAUCAAAAGGAAACCAUAAGCAAAAAUCAGUUUGGGGCUGUGCCAGGCGAACAGCACCAGGUGAGACAGGGAGGAGGCUCUGCAGCACUUCCCCACCGUGCUUCACAAACUGCAACUGUCCCAAGGGGCUUUUUAUAUGUUUUCAGGCUCUUCUGGGCUCCUUUGGAAUACACUGCUUCCAGACAAAUAUUCAUGCUGUUUUGGGCGUAUAUGUUGUCAUUUCAUCAGGUUUCUUGGAAAUACACUUCUUGCAGGUCCUAUUUCCAUGCUCCUAUUCCCAGAUGGCUCCAGUCUCACACAGAGCAUUGCUGCCUUGGUCACUCCUAUCUCCACAAGCCAGCAGAGCUCCUAUUUUGGAUGGGUCUCGCUGCUCCCAAGGCCCCAGGGACGGCUCCUGCCUUUCCUCCUUCCGCUUUCCCUUCCAGGAUCAGUGAUGUCCUGCCACUUCCUCCAUGGCUGAGACAACAACAAGAGAUAAGGGACUGAGGAUGCCGCUUCUGACAGAGACUUGGUGACACUCAGCUGAGGAUUUUGUUCUCUUGCCUAAGAGAACUGUCAGGCUGCCUAUCCAAAACUCCUCCUGCUUGGGAAGGGGCUGGUGUGAGCAGCAGGAAUUGUUGUUGGCUGGAACAUUUCAAAGAGCUGCACAAAAGAAGUGUUUUGUGGAAGGCCGCCAGCUGCCCUUUGUCAGCAGCACAAGGUGGGAAGGUCCCCUUUGAAUGCCAGCCCUGCACAAGGACAGCCUUCUCCAGUAGCCACAACACCUUUCAGGCUUUCGGGCUGGCCUCGUCCCUCACUCUGGAGGAGCAGCUUGCUGUUGGAACUCCCACAGCCACAGUUUCUGCCUGCAUUACCGUGUCUUCCCACAAACAGCCCCGGAGACAGCACUACAUAGAGGCUCCUUGGAGUCAGAGGCACAGAGUGUGUGCCCUUCCCUUUGAUAGCUGGCUCUGACAUCCAGGAAAGCACUGCAUUUCAUAGAACACCAUGAAAACAACUGUUACAGUUCAAUAGAAAAACUAGGAGUGCAAGUGUGGAAAUUAGAAAGUUUUCUGAAGUCACUGGGUGAGAAAAUUCAACUUGAAGGUUGAAGCUAGUUUAAGAAAGAAGAGGCAAGAUGGAGGAAUUAGGGCGUUGUCUCCUUUGCCUUCUUCAUCUCCUCUCUUCAUCUUCUUCUUCUAGAGGUUUUUGGGUAGUAGUAAGUGAUUGGAUAAAGAAUGCCGCAGUGCAGUGAGCAGGUGUUGGGUCAUUGGGUCACUAAGAAAAAUCAUUGACUUGGCGUUUGUUAAUUGGGUAAAUGGACACAUAAAAAACCUUGAAGAUCUUUGUUAGCCAUUUGGCACCUUUCUAUAUCUUA
rnacentral:lncRNA from 1 species